GUUUGUUUUGUUUUUUGUAAACUAAAUAUUUAUUUUUUCUGAUAAAAAUUGUCUGUUAAACAUACAGGUAUAUCAGAUACUUUAAAGACCUCAUUGUCAUACUUUAACAUAUGAUAGAUAUGUAGUGAAUGACAGAUCGUAGUGAUGAUUAUGAUUUUGAAGCUGGUUUAUCUGGUGACGUUUACACUUCAACUGAGGUGUGUGAACACUCUGAAACCAACUUGGAAAUAGACCAACAGAUUUGUCUUCUGUAAGCUGAAGUUAAAAUUUUGCAGCUUGAUUUCUCUGAACAGACCACCCUUGAUCCUGUAUCUGUAGAUAUCAGGCAAAGGGUAACAGAAAGGGAUUCUAGAGAAUCUGGACCUGUUCCUAGGAGGGAUUCAUCAAAGAAUAAAAUGGGCUUUGCAUUCAGACCUUGCACAUCAAACCCUGAUUCAACCACUUAAAAGUUUAUUUAACUUUCUUUUCUAAGAGCAUAUAAAUUGGUUUAAGUUCAGUUACAAGUUAUAGAAACCCUCAAAUUACAGUGUCCUAAACACUGCUUGUCCUUAGGCAAGUUACUUUCGUGUACCACAGUUUCUCAAAAACAAAAUAAUAAUAGAACCUACUUCAUAGGAUUGUUGUUAAUGAUUAAUUGAUAUUUAUUCAGAGAUAAGAACUGUGUCUCACACAUAGUAAGGCUAUGCAAAUGGGAGCUAGUGCUGUAUUAUUAUUGUUAUUAUAUUUUUCUGUUACAUAAAAUUCUGGGGCUAAUAGGGCAGCUCUGAUCUAUCAAAUUCUCAGAAACCAAGCCUAUUUAUAGCUGAUAAAGUCCCCUUUUGCCGGCAUGUAAGGAUAUAGGAUAUUUGCUAGCUGUAUCUUUUUUUUUUUUUUUUAAUUUUUUUAAACAUUUAUUUUUGAGACAGAGAGAGACCAUGAACAGGGGAGGGUCAGAGAAAGAGGGAGACACAGAAUCUGAAACAGGCUCUAGGCUCUGAGCUGUCAGCACAGAGCCCGACGCGGGGCUCGAACCCACGGACCGCAAGAUCAUGACCUGAGCCAAAGUCGGACGCUUAACCGACUGAGCCACCCAGGCGCCCCUUGCUAGCUGUAUCUUGAGGUACAUUGCUGGAUACUGCCACACAACAUUUUUUAGCUUCAUCCCAGUGGCCAAAAUUUGGUCUUAUGAACAUGUGUAGCUGCAAGGGAGGCUGGAAUAUAUAGUCGUCAUUUGGCUGGUCAUGUGCCAGCUAAACUUCUACUAUUCAGGAAGACAUGUUGAACAGAGUGGAAAUCAAUGAAGACCAACUAAAUGAGAAAAGCAAGGCUCUUUAUUCUGAGCUUGCUAUAGCACGCAAGGGAGUCAACCAUUGUCACUGACAUUUUACUAGAGAUUCAUAGGCAGGCAGAGGAAUUAGAAGAUCUUUAUAAUGGGAAAAAUAAGCCUUUAGGUAUGACCUGAUUAGAGGCUGCUGGCCUGAAGGAGCUAUAGGUGAGCUACUCAGAAGUGAGGCAUAUCAUCUGGCUUUCUCUGCUUCGUCCUAAGUUGGAAGCAGGAACAAAAAUUAGGGAAGCUGUCAGUUAUUAAUCAAGUCCUGGGCAUUUGGGGCUGAUUGUUACAGAGUUACUGUUCGGCUUCCUGGAUUGUCACUAGAGACAGCAGUCUGGCUUCCUGCAUGUCUGACAUAGAAGGCUGGCGUCCUGGGUUAUUUGUUAUGGAUAAAAGGUUUCCUGGUCAGGUUGCUGAAGGUUGUGGUUCAAAGUUCUAUUUUUAUAUGAUCUGGCCAUUGACUGUAUAUUUGGUCAACAGAUAUUGGAGCACAGCUAGUAAUCUCUGCCACAUGGAGUUCUUAAAAACAAUGUUGCUUUAUAUGAAUUACCAUAUUUACUCUUCACAAGGACUCUGGCAGGUAAAUUUGACACUUAGAGAAGACAGUCAUCAUCACUAGUAAAUAGAAGGACUAGUGUGUGAAAUUAAGUUUGUCUUCUGAUACAAAAUUACAUGUGUUUUCCCUUAAUGGCCCUUAGAGAUUUUUGUAUCACAGAACUCCUUUGAAAAAUCAGAUGAAAACCCUUGACCUUCUCCCCAGAAGAUGUUAAUGCACACAAAAUCUGCAUUCCAUCACAAAGCCUGCACAGAUUUUCUGAUCAAGGCACUCAACAGUUCUCUAGCAGUAGUUAGGAUCCCUCGUCUCCAGUGGAAGGUCAGUGUCAGCCACUUACACUCUCCUCUUGCUUAACUUCUCUUAGGAUUAGUUUCCUCAUUCAUAAGAUGGAGGCAGUUUUGAGGUUGCUUUCUAAAUUAUAAAAAUACUGCAUAACAGGGAGGUAAUAUUUUUUAUUAUCACAGAAUGCUAUCAAACUGACUCUGUUUCAAGUCCCAUGGUUUGAGUGACUCACUUCUAAUCGGUUAUCUGAUUUUCUCUUUUAGGGACUUCCCACCACUAGCACAAACUGUCUUUGCAAAUUAAUGAACAAUUAAAAAAAAUUGUGGUUUUAAUUUUAAAAAGAAAUACAAACACACAAACGCCAAAUCUGCAAAACAGCUAUCAAGAUGAGACCCAUAAAAGCAAAUGUAAAUAGUCCUUAUAAGAGAGACAAUUAAUAUAAAAUUCUUGGCUUAAACUCUAAGUGCAAGAGUUAUUUAAGUAUUUAUAGUGGGAAGCAAAGAGGGCAAAUCUAUUGGGCAAAUACCAACCAGAGGCAGAUAAAAAAACGUACAGUUUUCAGUUGUCAGGUUUUGCCCCUGCUGAGAGAUCGAUGAUUUGGGGUUUUGAUUGUGCUCUAGAGAUUUUUGCCCUUUUUCAGUUUAGUUUUUUUUCUUUGCUACUGCUACUCCACACAUACAGGUCGCUGUCCCUGACCCAUUGCCAAGGCAUGCCUGAGCCCAUAACAUUUACCUUGGAAGAAUUCUCCUGUCCUUUCACCACUUGAGAAAACUAGUGCACAAUCAGAGUACCUUAUAGAAGAAGCCCUGUUACCUGUGUCUUUAGCAGAUUCAGAUUUCUUAGGCCACUGAGGGAGGAAAAAUUUGCCGGUGUGUUUUUAUAUUUAUUGUGAUGAUGAACUCAGCUCUCUUACUUAAAUGGAUCUUGCCUUCAGUUGACUUUUUCAGAGAGUUGUUUUAUCAGCUGACCCAGUGGAAUGUAGUAAGAUCGAUUCUGUGUUUGGUAAUGAAUAGUAACAUACAGUUAUAGAAUCGAUAACUAUCCUCUUGAAGUAUCCUUGGGGCCUCUGACUAAAAUUUGAACGUAUCUAUCAUGUAAAAUAGUACUUAGGAAACUUUUUUUAAAAAUAAAAGAUACCAACUGAUUGCUAGUAAGUUAUAAGUUUAUAGAGCAAUUUAUUGUACUUCAAUAGAACCGAGGUAGUUUUCUAGAGAAUUGGGAUAUCAUUCUUCCUUCCUGUCUAAUAGACAUUAUAUAAGCCUUUAAUGACCCUAUCCUUUACUGUAGGUACCAUUAGUCUGUCUCACCAAGGUAGAAGGAUUCUGGGUCAGAUUUCCCAGAUCAUCUUGGAGACCUUCUAAAGGUUGAAAGUUAUAUUGUCAAACGUAUAGAUCUUUAGAAUAGUCUCAGCAUAAUGGCCACACUAGAAAGGUAUUCCAAUGUCCAUAACAGAAAGUUUGACCAAGGAGUUUCACAUGAGUAGAAUAUUUUUACAUCUGGUUACAUUUAUGUAUGUUUUUUAUGAUAAAGAGGGACAAUAAAGAGGCGAGAGGUGUUGCUAUUUUAAGUAAGACGAUGAAAGAAAACACUACUGACUUAAGUCUUACGCCCCCACCUCCACCUGCCUUUCCCUCCAUACUGCCCUGGUUCUGUUUUUUCCCUUUGCAGACAGACACUCCUGACCCUGUUUCCAGCACCACAAGAAAUGGCUCUUGAGUGACCUCUGUCAUUAAAUCCAGUGGACUUCAACCAGUGUUCAUUCUGCUUGAUGUCUCAGCUGCACGUGGCUCUGUUGUUCCUAUGCUGCUUCUUAAAAGACUCCCCCGCUGGCUUGUUGAGUCCCAUAGUGCCUUGGUUUCCUUCCUGCCUCUCUGGAGACUCUGAUUCUUCUUAACCGACACGUUCUCAUCUCUUGGCCUUUAAUGACGGAGUUUUAAAAGUUUCAGUCCUGACUUUUUUUUCCUUUCCGCUUUAUACUUUCCUCACAGUUGAUGUCAUUCGCGCCUGUGGAUUCAGUUACUUUCUGUACACCGCUGAUUUCUAACUUUUUGUCUUUAGUCUGGAGCUGUCUUUCAGCUCUGAACUCACGUUAACCCAACACGUCUGUAAAGAAAUUCACGAUCGUCCUCACAGACUACCCUCCUCCUCCAAUGCUAACUUGAUACUCGGUACCAGUCUGCCCAGUUGUGCAUGCUAGAGCCCAGGACUCUUCUUUGGCACUUCUUUUUUUUUCCCCUUCUUUGACACUUCUGUCCCUCACCAAGUUCCGUUUUUUCUUUCAAAUGUCUUUCAGAUUUUCCACCCUGCUCUACUUCCAUUUGUCUCCCCGUAGUAUAAAGUAGCUCCAUCUGUCACCUGUAGGGCAGCAACUUAUUAACUAAUCUUCCAGCUCCCGGCACCAUUUCUCUAAUCUGUUUCUCCAUCGGUCUGUAAGACAAGCGAGAAGGGAAGAAAGAAAAGAAAACCCUCUGUUUUUAAAUCCUUCUCGUGUUUCCCAUUGAGGGUGAAAAUGCUUGUCAAGAUUUACUAGACCUGGGUGAUCCAGAGUACAAGCUCUGAGAGGGAGGAGUCUUUGUUUUGUGCCCGCACAUAUCCCUAGUGUCUAGGACAGCUCCCUGCACAGAGUAGGUGCUCAGCAAGUAUCUGCUGUAGAAGGUGUAGACACCUUCAGUUUCCGGGGAGGUGCCUGGCUGAUAGUAGCAACUCAAUAAAUAUGUUGAAUGAAUGAAUACAUAAAAGGUGGUUAUUUUCUUUCUCUUUCCUUCCUCCUGAUUCUCUUACCUGUGUUACACUUCUCUGCUCCAGGGACCAGUAGGUGAACCUGGGUGGUUGUACAACAAUCACAGCCGUUUCUUGCUGCUUCGCACUCCGGUCUCAAGGGGACUUGCUAAGCUAUCGAGUGGUAUGCUGCCAUGAGAGAAGACGGUGUCCUGAUGUGAUACAGGAAGGGUUUUGGUUUUGUUUGUUUUUUUUUCCCCUAAGAAAUUCAGAAAUUCUUUUCUAAACACUUAAUUGUGCUAUAAGCUGUCUUUAUAGAAGAGACUUCAUUAGGAAAAAAAUCAUAAGGAACUUCUUUUACGAAAGAACAUGACUAGGACUUAAAGCUUUACAAAGGACAGCAGUAGAUACUGGAAUUUUAAGAAAAUGAUUCAUUUCUUUCUAGUGAGUAAUACGGUAAAUCAGGACAUCACAACAAUAUAUUUCACUGUCUCAAGUCUUCAGCUUAAUUGGGGUAGAAGAGGAAAUAUAGCUCCUGGUCUGUAUUCCAGAAAUGAACCUCUGGAUAGCAUUGCAUCAAAGAAUUUUACAAGUAAAUAAUUAAUUGGUUUAGAGCAAGCUGACAAAUAUAAUUAAGCAAUUU